rnacentral:rRNA from 1 species
GGCGUACGGGUGAGUAACACGUGGGUAUCUACCUCUUAGUGGGGAAUAACUCGGGGAAACCUGAGCUAAUACCGCAUAAGCUCGAAAGAGGAAAGUCGAAAGACGCUGAGAGAGGAGCCCGCGGCCGAUUAGCUAGUUGGUGAGGUAAUGGCUCACCAAGGCGACGAUCGGUAGCCGGCCUGAGAGGGCACACGGCCACACUGGCACUGAAACACGGGCCAGACUCCUACGGGAGGCAGCAGUGGGGAAUCUUGCACAAUGGAGGAAACUCUGAUGCAGCGACGCCGCGUGGGCGAUGAAGGUCUUCGGAUUGUAAAGCCCUUUCGACAGGAACGAUUAUGACGGUACCUGGAGAAGAAGCUGCGGCUAACUACGUGCCAGCAGCCGCGGUAAUACGUAGGCAGCAAGCGUUGUUCGGAAUUACUGGGCGUAAAGAGUGUGUAGGCGGUGCGGUAAGUUUGGUGUGAAAUCUCCCGGCUUAACUGGGAGGGUGCGCUAAAGACUGCCGUGCUCGAGUGUGGGAGAGGAAAGCGGAAUUCC